UCUCCUGUAGCUCAGCGGUAGAGCGUCCGACCGGUGUGUGGAAGGUCAAAGGUUCGACUCCCAUUAGGAGAA